GGCCUACCAUGGUUUUAACGGGUAACGGGGAAUUAGGGUUCGAUUCCGGAGAGGGAGCCUGAGAAACGGCUACCACAUCCAAGGAAGGCAGCAGGCGCGCAAAUUACCCAAUCCCGACACGGGGAGGUAGUGACAAUAAAUAACAAUACAGGGCUCUUACGGGUCUUGUAAUUGGAAUGAGUACAAUUUAAAUCCCUUAACGAGGAACAAUUGGAGGGCAAGUCUGGUGCCAGCAGCCGCGGUAAUUCCAGCUCCAAUAGCGUAUAUUAAAGUUGUUGCAGUUAAAAAGCUCGUAGUUGAAUUUCGGGAUUCUACCGUUGGUCGGGCUAACAAGUCUGUACUGGUGUGUAGAAUUUCUACCUUCUGGGGAACUAUCAUGUUAUUAAUUUAGCGUGGUGGGAAACCAGGACCUUUACCUUGAAAAAAUUAGAGUGUUCAAAGCAGGCUUACGUCUGAAUACAUUAGCAUGGAAUAAUAGAAUAGGACGGUGGUCCUGUUUUGUUGGUUUCUGAAUCACCGUAAUGAUUAAUAGGGAUAGUUGGGGGCAUUAGUAUUCAAUUGUCAGAGGUGAAAUUCUUGGAUUUAUUGAAGACUAACUUCUGCGAAAGCAUUUGCCAAGGAUGUUUUCAUUAAUCAAGAACGAAAGUUAGGGGAUCGAAGACGAUCAGAUACCGUCGUAGUCUUAACCAUAAACUAUGCCGACUAGGGAUCGGACGAUGUUAAUUUUAUUGACUCGUUCGGCGCCUUACG
rnacentral:rRNA from 1 species